UACGGAGGGGGCUAGCGUUGUUCGGAAUUACUGGGCGUAAAGCGCACGUAGGCGGAUCAGCAAGUUAGGGGUGAAAUCCCGGGGCUCAACCCCGGAACUGCCUUUAAGACUGUUGGUCUGGAGUCCGAGAGAGGUGAGUGGAAUUCCGAGUGUAGAGGUGAAAUUCGUAGAUAUUCGGAGGAACACCAGUGGCGAAGGCGGCUCACUGGCUCGGUACUGACGCUGAGGUGCGAAAGCGUGGGGAGCAAACAGG
rnacentral:rRNA from 1 species